rnacentral:rRNA from 1 species
CUACGGGCCGCAGCAGUUUCGAAUAAUUCACAAUGGGCGCAAGCCUGAUGAUGCGACGUUACGUGAAGGAAGAAAGCUUUAAGUUGUAAACUUCUGUCGUUAAGGAACAAAAAAUUAAGUAGUACUUUUUAUAUUGAGUUAACUUAAAAAGGAAGCAGUGGCUAAUUUCGUGCCAGCAGCCGCGGUAAUACGGGAACUGCAAGCGUUGCUCGGUUUUAUUGGGCGUAAAGAGUACGUAGGCUGUUAUAUAUGUUAAUUGUUAAAUUUUAAAGUUAAUCUUUAAAUUUGCUGUUAAAACUAUAUAACUAGAAUUUCAAAGAGGUAAGUGGAAUUUCAAGUGUAGCGGUGAAAUGCGUAGAUAUUUGAAGGAACACCAAUGGCGAAAGCAACUUACUGGGUGAUAAUUGACGCUAAAGUACGAAAGUAUAGGGAGCAAAAGGGAUUAGAUACCCCUGUAGUC